rnacentral:lncRNA from 1 species
CACACAAUGUGUAGUCUUUUGAGUCUGGAUUUACUCACUCAGCAUAACGCAUUUGAGGUUCAUCCAUGUGGUGAGGAAGUGGGACAGCUGGAUGACCAUGACAUUGGACCUCCAGUAGUGCUCGUGAAGCGAUGCAUCUUGGAAAGGAGGAUCUGCCUGCGUUCCUGACAUCACCCUUGGGAUUUCUCCUCUGCUCUCCAGGCCUCUGGCUCUCCCUGCUGGUUCUGUGCUGGGUCACCUGCCACUGCUCAGCCUGCAUGCCCUGCAGAAGUUGGCUGGAGCCAGCUGGUGGUGACUUGCCAGAGACUCUGGUUAAAUAGGAAUUUUGCAAGCUGGUUGUUAAACCAUUGGUAGCUUGAAAUCAGCCUUGGUGGGAGUAUUUAUAACCCAGAAAUUGGCAAAUACUACAAAUCAAGUCUUGCCUCCAGCAGCUUACCAGUAGUCCACAGCUUACCUGCUCCUCUUAGUACCAAUGAAAACACCUACAUCACCUCGUUUUAAUAGCGACAA